CCCUUAGAUGUCCUGGGCCGCACGCGCGCUACACUGAUGCAUGCAACGAGUUUAUAGCCUUGGCCUGAAAGGUCUGGGUAAUCUUUUGAACGUGCAUCGUGAUAGGGAUAGAUUAUUGCAAUUGUUAAUCUUGAACGAGGAAUUCCUAGUAAACGCGAGUCAUCAGCUCGCAUUGAUUACGUCCCUGCCCUUUGUACACACCGCCCGUCGCACCUACCGAUUGAAUGGUUCGGUGAAGAUCUCGGACUUCGAUAUUUAUUCUUUAUUGAGUUUAUAUUGUGGGAAGUUAUCUAAACCUCAUCAUUUAGAGGAAGGUGAAGUCGUAACA
rnacentral:rRNA from 1 species